UGACCUAAAUUGUUUUUCCUUAUGGUGUACAAUAAAGAGUAUUCUAUCUAUCUAUCUAUCUAUCUAUCUAUCUAUAAGUACGUGUGGAAACAAAAUUCAGCAAAAUCUUUUGAGGUGCCACAGAAACAUGAGUGUGUGAAGACAGUAUCUGAAAUUUUGGGAAUUUCGAUAAGAUCUGUGUGUCGGAUAAUAAAAGAAUAUAAGGCGAAUGUUCAGCUAUCAAAUCAGAAAAAAUCUAGACCCAAAAAUACGUUCAAAGAUAAAAUUGAUGAUUUUGACUUUUCGGCGAUACUUCGAAAAGUUCACCAAUUCUCUUAUGCGAAUGACCCUCCAACUAUUGGCAAGGUAUGUUUAUAUACCAUUGCACAUCAUACAUAAUAAUAAUUAACACAUAUUUUAAAAUUGGUCCACAGCACGCCACACAUGCCCGUCAUUGCAGCUCCUGUGAGCCAGGAUCUCUAAUGAAACUAACGAAAACCACCGAAACACUUAAGUUCGGUGUGUCCCAGGGGAAAACAAUUAACUGCCUUGGAAAUAUAGUAAAAUGGAGGAGUUAGGAAAAAAAUGUUCCACUUCCCUCUAUACCAUUGGUAAAAUAUUGAUUUUACAGGUUCAUCAAAUUGUAAAUGAUGACCCGGACCUACCUAAUGUCGAAGAGUACCAUGCGAGCAGUGUUAAAACAUUUAAAAUUUAAAUACGCCAGCCGCAAACGACGCAGCUUCUUGAUAGACCGUCAAGACUUAAUUCUGUGGCGAAGAAGAUACUUGACGACAAUCAAGGAAUAUCGGAAACCAGGAAAAAUAGUUUAUUAUCAACAUGAGACCUGGAUUAAUGAAGGUUAUACAACUGGUAUAGUUUGGGUGGAUAUAAAAAUAGAAUCUUCCAAACAAGCAUUUUCAGAAGGUUUGACUACAGGCCUAAAGGGCCUAACCGGCAGAGGCCGGCGUGUCCUAAUUUCUCAUAUAGGCAGUGAUGAAGGUUCUGUAGAAGCCGGUUUACUUAUUUUUGAAUCCAAGAAAAAUAGUCUGGAUUACCAUGAAGAAAUGAACUCAGAGUGUUUUGAAGAAUGGCUUAAAAACAUUUUGUCAAAAUUAAAGCCAAAUGCGGUGUUAAUAUUAGAUAACGCACCGUAACAUUCAAGAAAAGUCAAGCACAUCCCUACCUCAAACUGGCGGAAGGCUGACAUUAUUCAGUGGAUGAAAAACAAAUUCGAUAUCAACCUACAAUGGUUAAAGGUCAAUUAAUUAUUAGAAAGAGUAAAAUCACAAAAAUCUAAUUAUGAACGUUAUACUGUGGAAGAGUUGGCCGCAAUCCUGCGUCAGCCCCCUUAUCAUUGUGAGCUCAAUAAUAGAGUUAGUUUGGGCUCAAGCAAAGGGAUACGUCGCCAGGAACAAUAAAUCUUCUAAAAUAAAAGAUGUAAAAAGUUAUUAGAAAGCCUGAAGGAAGUGACGCCUGAAAAUUGGAGACGGUGCAUCAACCAUGUCAAAGAAGUCUAACUGACAAGAUGUGUCAACGCGACCACAUCAUUGAUGAAUGUGUUGAUUCUUUGUCAUAAAUGUAACUGAUUCCGAUUCCGAUUGUGAAUAUACUGAUUCAGAAUUCAGACCCAUGCGUCAUACUCGUGAACGGGUGCUGCUUGGUGGCUGGUCGGCAUGUGUUUGUUGGCACCUACACACUUAUUUUGUUAUUCAUACUAAUAUUAUAAAGAAGAAACCUUUGUAUCAUAA